UAUUUGGGCGAUAUAUGUAAUUUUUUGAGUUGAUACCGACUUGACUGAGAUUUCUGAUAAAUUGGGAAAAUUACGCUUUAUGGCUACUGGGAGAAAAUAUUUACGCCACGUAGCCCAUAUUUUGAGUUUGUUAUCUGGUUUAGUCCAUAUUUGUGUAUAUAUAAGCACCUUUUAUACACUGUUAUGCACUUUUAUACAAGGUUGAUACAUUAUGUAUAAUGCUUUCCACCAGGCAUAAUGUUGUAUAAUAUUGUAUAUUGGGCUACGUGGCGUAAUAUUUUAUCUUGGGCUGUAGUUUAUUGAGUUCAUACCACUUGACUGAGAUUUCUGAAAUUGCAUUUUGCUAAUACUAGAUGCUGCAUACAUUUGUUAUGGUUACACGAUAUUUCGCUGUUGUUACUAUUCUUUUUCUGAAUGCUGUGUACUGCUUUCCUUAUUAGUUGUCAUGUUUUCUUUGCUGCUGCAUUUCCUCUUUCAUAAUUACCUUGCUUUGAUGCACUCGAGUCGAUGGUGGUAAGAAAAAAUUUCCCAUUUUUUUAUAAAAGUAAAAUAAACUAUAUGAAAUAGAAAAUUCGAGGGGGGUGGGGGCCUGGGCGGGGUGAUGGGGUAAGAAAAAAUUUCCAUUUUUUAUAUAAAAGUAAAAUAAAAUAUAUGAAAUAGAAAAUUCUUCUUGAAAAACCUCUCUAGCUCCACGAGAUAGGGGUAAGGUCUGCAUACAUUGACCCUUCCCAAACUCCAUUUGUGAGAUUAUACUGGGUAUGUUGUUGUUGUUGUUGUUGAAGGUAUAGUUGACUGGUAGAGAGGUGUUUGGACUUUGGGUAUUUGCACAAUUCUCUGUUUAACAGUCAUCUAUAACCCACAUAAGUAGGAUUUCCAAUUUAAAAAAUUUCAAUGUCCAAAGCAUUUUUUCUGUUGAUGGACAUGAUUUAAUUAAUGCCCUCAAAUCAGUUGUGCAUUUGUUUGAUGAAUUUGUGUAGAAGCUUUUAGUAAACAAAGAUGAACUAGAGUUUUCAGCUGGGCAAUAUCUAUAAGUAUUCGAGUUCAUACCACUUGACUAAGAUUUCUGAGUUUGUAUUUUGCUAACAUCGAUGCUGCAUACCUAUUUUUUCAUUUGAAGGUAUAGUUUCCUGGUAGGAGCAAAUGGCAUCUGUUUCUGGGUCUAAAAGUUGGAUUGAUGAAAGCUCUCCUGACUUGUUGAAGAACACACCGUCAAAUAUUAGGAGGUUAGCAGAUGAGAUUGAGCACUUAGAGGGUAGGCAAAAGUACCUUGCUCAGACUAGAAGUCCUUCAGAUGGUGGUGAUGUUCGUUGGUAUUUCAACAAGAUGCCUUUGGCAGUAAACCAACCUGCUGCCGCAGUCCCCCAAGCAGAGAUAGUGGGAAAGGGUGAUUACUUUAGAUUUGGCAUGAGAGAUUCUCUUGCAAUUGAGGCUUCUUUCUUGCAGAGAGAGGAUGAAUUGCUUUCUUGUUGGUGGAAAGAGUAUGCAGAGUGCAGUGAGGGCCCAAAAGGGGCUCCAAAUAGAUUUAAUCCUGCAUCAGAAAUAUCUUCUCCGGAGAGCUCUCAAGCAGCUGAAAAGUAUUCAGUUGAAGAAGAAAGAGUCGGGGUCCCCGUAAAGGGUGGCCUCUAUGAGGUAGAUUUGGUGAAGAGACAUUGUUUUCCUGUUUACUGGAAUGGAGAAAAUCGUCGUGUCUUAAGAGGUCACUGGUUUGCUCGUAAAGGGGGUCUGGAUUGGCUUCCAAUACGUGAAGAUGUUUCUGAGCAGUUGGAGUUUGCAUAUCGCAGUAAGGUUUGGCAUAGAAGAACCUUUCAGCCAUCAGGGCUCUAUGCAGCUCGAGUUGAUAUGCAAGGCUUCUCCCCAGGACUGCAUGCUAUUUUUACUGGAGAAGAUGAUACUUGGGAAGCCUGGCUAAAUGCUGAUGCCUCUGGUUUCGCUGGUGCUAUAGGAUUUGGGGGGAGUGGUGUUAAGCUAAGGCGUGGAUAUGCUCUUCCUCAGUCAUCAAAACCAACACAGGACGAAUUACGUCAACGGAUGGAAGAAGAAAUGGAUGAUUAUUGCUCACAGGUCCCUGUUCGACAUCUGGUGUUCAUGGUUCAUGGUAUUGGUCAAAGGUUGGAAAAAUCAAAUCUUGUAGAUGAUGUUAGUGACUUCCGUCAUAUCACGUCAAUCCUUGCUGAACGACACUUAACCUCGUACCAACGUGGCACUCAGAGAGUCCUCUUCAUCCCAUGCCAGUGGAGGAAGGGCUUAAAGCUUGGUGGUGAGGCUGCAGUUGAAAAAUGUACUUUAGAUGGUGUGCGGGGAUUGCGCGAGGUGUUGAGUGCUACGGUGCAUGAUGUGCUGUAUUACAUGAGCCCCAUUUACUGCCAGACUAUUAUUGACUCGGUCUCCAACCAGUUGAAUAUGUUAUACUUGAAGUUUCUUAAGAGGAAUCCCGGUUAUAGUGGAAAGGUUUCCUUGUAUGGUCAUUCCCUUGGGAGUGUCUUGUCAUAUGAUAUCCUAUGCCAUCAAACAAAACUGUCCUCCCCUUUUCCCAUGGAGUGGUUGUACAAAGAACAAAAUGAGAAUAAAUUGUCUCAGCAGGAUCAAAGCAACCUAUCUUUAGACCAAAACUCUGCCUUCAGUUCAGAUGAUGAAACCUAUAUUAGGGGGGAAAAUAAAAGUAAUGUGUCAGAUAAAGACAAAAUGAAUGUAGAACCAAGUUCAUCAGAUUCUGUGGAAGAUCGUACUGAAGAUUUUUGUCAUCCAGUGGGCCCUCCUGCUUCAUCAGACUCAGACGAAACAGCCACAACCGAUGAUUUCAAGCAACUUAAUGAUUCCUCAGCAAAUGAAAAUUCUCAUGAACCUCCUAUUGAUGAAAGGGACACCAUAAAUGAUGCCGAGAAUAUGGAAGAUGGAAUAGUUGAGUUUGAUCAAAAUAUUGAUGAGGGAGCAUCUGAAAAGGAAAAAGACAGAACAAUCAUUUCCCUGAGGGAAGAGAUUGAUAUGCUGAGAGCAAAACUCCAAGAAUUAGAAUCCGAGUGUGUAAAGAAAGAAAAGGGAGGAACGAACUCAGCUACGAGAAUUCAAUCUACUCCUGAAAGGCUUUCUCCUGAGGAAAGUGAUUCUGCAAAGAGUUAUACCCCGCAAAUAAGAUACACAAAGUUGAAAUUUAAGGUCGAUACAUUUUUCGCUGUUGGAUCCCCUCUUGGUGUUUUUCUUUCCCUCCGCAAUGUCCGUAUUGGGAUUGGCAGGGGGAAAGAAUACUGGGAAGAGGAUAAUAUAGUUGAAGAGAUGCCAGCUUGUCGACAAAUGUUCAACAUAUUCCACCCUUUUGAUCCAGUGGCAUACAGAAUAGAACCACUCGUCUGUAAAGAAUAUCUCAACAAACGCCCCGUCAUUAUACCCUACCACAGAGGUGGGAAACGACUGCAUGUUGGUUUUCAGGAAUUUAAAGAAGAAGUAGCUUUGCGUUCACAGGCUUUUGUGAACAAUAUUAAUACUAUAAAGGUAAAGGUGAUUACUCUUUGUCAAUCGAGAGACAAGGAUGGCGAAGAUGGUAAUUAUGUCAAUUUCUUGCAGAGGGUUCCCAAGAUUCUCAGGAGAUAGAAGAGAGGUCAUAUGGUUCAAUUAUGAUGGAGAGAUUAACUGGAAGUGAAGAUGGUCGAGUAGAUCAUGUUUUACAAGAUAAAACAUUUCGGCAUGCAUACAUUUCAACCCUUGGAGCGCACACGAACUACUGGAGAGAUAAAGAUACAGCUCUUUUUAUGCUAAAACACUUGUACCGGGAUAUACCAGAGGAUUCCUACUCGUCCUGUGAACCUGUG